UACGAAGGGGGCUAGUGUUGUUCGGAAUUACUGGGCGUAAAGGGCGCGUAGGCGGUACUUCAAGUCAGGCGUGAAAGCCCCGGGCUCAACCUGGGAACCGCGCUUGAGACUGGAGAACUAGAGUUCGGGAGAGGAUGGUGGAAUUCCCAGUGUAGAGGUGAAAUUCGUAGAUAUUGGGAAGAACACCGAUGGCGAAGGCAGCCAUCUGGACCGACACUGACGCUGAGGCGCGAAAGCGUGGGAGCAAACAGG
rnacentral:rRNA from 1 species